AGAUUAUAUUGAGGACAACUUCUAAGCAAACCCUUGUAUCUCUCCCAUGCUUCAUACAAUGACUCUCCAACCUCUUCUUGAAAAUUAACAAUCUUCUUUUUGAGCUU